GAUGAAGAACGUAGCGAAAUGCGAUAAGUAAUGUGAAUUGCAGAAUUCAGUGAACCAUCGAAUCUUUGAACGCACAUUGCGCCCGGCAGUAAUCUGCCGGGCAUGCCUGUCCGAGCGUCAUUUCUACCCUCGAGCGAGUCCAGCAUCUAGGUGCUGGGCCCGCCCGGCGUUGGAGCACUACGGGAAGCCCUGUGCUGUCCCCCGUAGGCCCCGAAAUGAAGUGGCGGUCCUGCCGCGGCGCCCCCUGCGUAGUAUAACAGCUCGCUUCGGGACCAGGUGGAGGCCUGCCGUCAAACAUAUACUCUCUAAGUUUGACCUCGGAUCAGGUAGGGUUACCCGCUGAACUUAAGCAUAUCAAUAAGCGGAGGA
rnacentral:misc_RNA from 1 species